UAAGGGUGGGAUAAGGGGGAGAUAAGGGUGGGGUAUGGGUGCGAUAUGUGUGUGCUAAAUGUGUGAUAAGUGUGAGGUAUGUGUGUGAUAAUUGUGAGAUAUGGGUGUGAUAAGUGUGAGAUAUAGGAGAGGUGUGUGUGAUAAGUGUGUAAGAUAUUUGUGAGAUAUGUGUGUGAUAAGUGUGUAAGCUAUGUGUGAUAAGUGUGUGAUAAGUGUGAGAUAAAUGUGUGAUAUGUGUGUGUCAUUUUUGUACAUGAUGUGUGAGAUGUGUGUGAUUUUUGUGCAUGGUAUGUCUGUGUGAUAUAUUUCAUUUUUGUGUGUGACAUAUGUGUGAUUUCUAUGUGUGAGAUGUGCGCACACAUGAUGAGUGUGUCAGCCCGCCUGACCCGUGUUUCCGAGUGUGAUUUGUGUGUGUGCAAUCACGUGUGCUGUAACCACACGUGGUGUCUGUGUGUGCAUUCACAGGGUGCUUGUGACACCGUGCCGUGUUUGUGCAAGCACACAUCACGUGUGCUCAGGUGUGAGUUGUGUGCACGUGUUCAUGGGUGAUUUGUGCAUCUUCAGGCCUGCGUGGCGUGUGUGCACACGCGUGUGUGCAAGCAUGAUGUGUGUGGUCAUGUGUGCUUGAUUUAUGUGUUCAGGCAUUGUUCGUGUGUGCAGCUGUGUCUGGUGUGUCCACAUGUGUGAUUGGUGUGUUCAAGCAUGAUGUGUGUGCAUAGUGUGUGAUUGGUGUGUUCAGGUGUUGUUCAUGUGUGCAGCUGUGUCUGAUGUGUGUGCACAUGUGUGAUGUGUGUGUUCAAACAUGAUGUGUGUGCACAUGUGUGAUGUGUGUAUUCAGGUGUUAAUGUGUGCAGCUGUGUCUGAUGUUGUGUGCACACGUGUGAUCUGUGUGUUCAAACAUGAUGUGUGUGCACAGUGUGUCAUGUCUGUGUUCAGGCGUUGUUUGUGUGUGCAGCCGUGUCUGAUGUGUGUGCACAUGUGUGAUCUAUGUGUUCAGGUGUUGUUUGUGCCUGGUGCAUGUGCACACGUGUGAUUCAAACGUGACGUGUGCUCAAGCACACCUGGUGUGCGUGUGUUCAGGCACAACAUGUGUGCAAGCACUCAUAACGUGUUCAAGUGUACACGUGCUGUGUGUGCAAGCAUGAUUUGUGUGUGCAGGGGUGCAGGAUGCAUGUGCAGGUGUGUGUCAUAUAUGUGCAAGCAUGAUUUGUGUGUGUGCUUGAUGUGGGAGUGUGCGUGUGCCAUCCUCUUGGGGCAGUAGGGACUGAGCCACCCUGGGCUGGGCGUCCCAAACCCGGGCAUGGCACCCCAGACCCUGAACAGGGCACCCCAAACCCUGGGUGAGCACCCCAAACCAUGGGCUAAGCAUCCCAAACUCUGGUUAGGGCACCCCAAACCACAGGCUGAGCAUCCUAAACCCUGGGUAAGCACCUCAAACCCUGGUAGAACACCCCAAAUCCCAGACUGAGCACCCCAAACCCUGGCUUAGGGCACCCCAAACCCUGGCUAAGCACCCCAAAGCACAGGGUGAGGACCCCAAACCCUGAGUAGGUCACCCCAAACCACAGGGUGAGCAUCCCAGACCCCAUGUAGGGCACCCAAGCCCAAGACUGGGCACCCCAAACCACCAUCUGAGCAUCCUAAACCCUGGUUAGGGCACCCCAAACCCCAGGUAAGGCAUCCCAAAACACAGGCUGAGCACCCCAAAUCCUGGGUAAUCACCCCAAACCACAGGCUGAGCAUCUCAUACCCUGAGUAGGGCACCCCAAACCACAGCCUGGGCACCCCAAACUCUGGGUAGGGCACCCCAAACCCCAGGUAAGGCAUCCCAAAACACAGGCUGAGCACCCCAACCUCUAGGCAGGGCACUCCAGACCCUGAACAGGGCACCCCAAACCACAGGCUGAGCACCCCAAACCAUGGGCUAAGCACCCCAAACCCUGGGUAAACACCCCAAACUACAGGGUGAGCACCCCAAACUCUCUUUAGGGCACUCCAAAACACAGGCUGAGCGUCCUAAACCCUGGGUGAGCACCUCAAACCCUGGUAGAACACCCCAAAUCCCAGACUGAGCACUCCAAACCCUGGUAGGGAACCCCAAACCCUGGCUAAGCACCCCAAACCCUGGUAGAACACCCCAAACCCUGGGCUGAGCACCCCAAACCCUGGUAGAACACCCCAAACCCUGGCUAAGCACCCCAAACCCUGGUAGAACACCCCAAACCCUGGGCUGAGCACCCCAAACCCUGGUAGAACACCCCAAACCCUGGGCUGAGCACCCCAAACCCUGGGCUGAGCACCCCAAGCCCCAAGCUGAGCACUCCAAGCCCCGAUUAAAGCACCCAAGCCCCCCCAUAACCUCAUGCCGUGCCCAAAACCAGCAGCUGCCCUUUGCUGCCCAGUUCCUCCCAGUCUCUAACUGGGCACAGACCAAGUUUGGAGCUGAAACCCUAAAUUGAGCCAGGCAGGGGUGCCCAGACCCAUCCUGCCGUGGUGCCCAUGCCCAGCACGGGAGCUUGGGCACCUCUUAGGUGAUAAAAUAGCUUUACACUUUAUUAAAUAUAUUAAAUCUUAAUAAUUAAAUAGUUAUGUGGCAAAGCUGGUUCUGCUGAACGUCCCGUCCUGGUCAUGUCCAAACAUCUCCAAGCAUGGGGUGGAUUUUGGGAUGGCGAGGAGCAACGCAGGAUGAAGCUGGCCGAGCCAAAACACCAAAAUAUUGACAAAGAGCCAAGAGGGCACUUCUUUGGCAAGGGGGAUGCUGGCUGCUGGAACCGAUGAGCGUAAAAAUCAUCCCAAAUGAUUUUUUGACGUCUCCCCCCAGGGCUGGAUCACCACGGGACCCCCACACUGAUGCUCUGGAUCACUCUGGACGCCGCCAGCUCCUCAUUUUUGGGAUCGCCACAAUCCAGGCUGCGGAUCCGGCUUGCCCAGGGGCGGUGAGACGGGCCGAGGGGCUCUGGUACCAGCACUCCUUCAUGAUCUUCGCCAGCGCCGACAGAACCUGAGGGGGUGGCACAAAAAAAAAAAAAGAUAAAUACGAGGGUUAAUGGGCAGUAAUGGGUGG